CCUGAAAGAACCUGCCUUUGUAGUGUCCACACAGAUUGUCUGAUAGAUGUAAAGAAGCAAGACGGCUGCGAAGUCGCGACACCUCGUGUCCCCUUCGUCUAGCGGUUAGGACUCCGCCCUUUCACGGCGGCAACAGGGGUUCGAAUCCCCUAGGGGACGCCACUUGCUGGCUGUGAGUGAAAGGCACAACCAACCGAUAUCUCAAAACUCAUCUUCGGGUGACGUUUGAGAUAUUUGCUCUUUAAAAAUCUGGAUCAAGCUGAAAAUUGAAACGACACACAGUGAAUGUGUGUUCGAGUCUCUCAAAUUUUCGCGACACGAUGAUGUUUCACGAAACAUCUUCGGGUUGUGA
rnacentral:misc_RNA from 1 species